UACAGAGGGGGCAAGCGUUGUUCGGAAUUACUGGGCGUAAAGGGCGCGUAGGCGGCCCGCUAAGUCGAACGUGAAAUCCCCGGGCUCAACCCGGGAACUGCGUCCGAUACUGGUGGGCUUGAAUCCGGGAGAGGGAUGCGGAAUUCCAGGUGUAGCGGUGAAAUGCGUAGAUAUCUGGAGGAACACCGGUGGCGAAGGCGGCAUCCUGGACCGGUAUUGACGCUGAGGAGCGAAAAGUGUGGGGGAGCCGAACAGG
rnacentral:rRNA from 1 species